GAGAGACUCGGGGGAGAAAGCGUUGUGCUUGAUGGCACGGUUUCCUUGGGCAAAGGAUGCUUUGGCAGCAGAGGUUUGCUGUCAGGAGGCAUGAAAGCACUGAAGCCAAUGCUGCCGUGCCCUGGGCCCAGAGACAUCAUCUCCCAGCACGUCCCUGGCGGUGGAUGUGUGCAAGCUCUGUGUCUGCCAGUGGUUGCUCCAAAGGCUUUGUGGUCAGCUGUGCGUGGCUGUUUUGCUCUUGAGGGCGUGGGAACAGAGGGCAACACGCUGAUGGGAGUGAUGGUGUCCUGCUCAGCAAUGGAUGUGCUGGGUGGCAGAAGAGGAUUCUUGGCCGAGCGUGGAAAAUCUCUCUGCUCCUUCCUGAAGGACGCAAUCUUCCACUUGGAAAGGGCCUCCCAAGGAUCCCUGGUAUCCUCUGAGAGCUCUGAGCUGCCGCACCAAUUUGAAGCUGACUUCAUUUUUGGUCUUCCCCUUCAGCAGAAAAGCUCAGACAGCCGAGCCAAGCGAGACGCUGGAUUUCCUUUGGCAUCAAGGAAAGCAUCGUGAGAUGUUCUGAUGCCCUCUCACAAUUCUUUCUCCCUCCGCCAGCACCAGAGCUGGCGUCCAAAG
rnacentral:lncRNA from 1 species